rnacentral:rRNA from 1 species
CAGUCGCCGCGGUAAUACAGAGGGUGCAAGCGUUAAUCGGAUUUACUGGGCGUAAAGGGCGCGUAGGUGGUUAUUUAAGUGAGAUGUGAAAGCCCCGGGCUUAACCUGGGAACUGCAUCUUAUACUGGGUAACUGGAGUGCAGUAGAGGGUAGUGGAAUUUCCGGUGUAGCUGUGAAAUGCGUAGAUAUCGGAAGGAACACCAGUGGCGAAGGCGGCUACCUGGACUGAGACUGACACUGAGGCGCGAGAGCGUGGGGAGCAAACAGGAUUAGAUACCCCGGUAGUCCCUGUCUCUUAUAC